ACACAGGAGGGACACGAUAAGACACGGGUGACACGGGGACACAAUGAGACAUGGGUGACACAGCUAGGGGCAUGAGGAGAGACAGAAGUGGGGACAAAUUUGGGGUUACAGUGACACAAAAAAGGACACAACGAGAGACGGACUGGGACAAAAGCAGGGACACAACCGAGGACACAACCAUGGUGCCACAGCCCCGAAACGGUGACAAAACAGGGACAAAACAGUGACAAAACCAGAUAUUCGGGUAUUUCCGGAAUUUUCCGCUCAUGCUUCGGCAUCUUUCGACAACUACCGCAAAAACUUCGGCCAGUUCCGGCUCUUUCCGUCAACGUUCGGGCACCGCCGGUUAACUUCGAGCAUUUCCGUCACUCUCCGGAGGCCCUUCGGCGGUCUCCGCCCACUUCCGUCAGUGCUUCGGAACUCUCCGUGCAUCUCCGCCAGCUCUGAGGUCACUCCGUCACCCUCCCUCCGCCCCCGCCGUCUCUCGGCUCUCGGGCUCGGGGGGGGGCGGUGCUUUUUAAAUAAAUUAUUCAUGAACCGA